rnacentral:rRNA from 1 species
CCUACGGGAGGCAGCAGUGAGGAAUAUUGGGCAAUGGGCGCGAGCCUGAACCAGCCAAGUAGCGUGAAGGAUGACGGCCCUACGGGUGGUAAACUUCUUUUAUAAAGGAAUAAAGUGAGGCACGUGUGCAGUUGUGGAUGUACGUUAUGAAUAAGGAUCGGCUAACGCCGUGCGAGCAGCCGAGGUAAUACGGAGUAUCCGAGCGUUAUCCGGAUUUGUUGGGUUGAAAGGGAGCGUAGAGGGGUUGUUAAGUCAGUUGUGAAAGUUUGCGGCUCCACCGUAAAAUUGCAUUUGCUACUGGCAGCCUUGAGUACAGUUGAGGUCGGCGGAAUUCGUGGUGUAGCGGUGCACUGCUUAGAUCUCACGAAGCACUCCGAUUGCGACGGCAGCCUACUAAACUGCCACUGACAUUGAUGCUCGACCGUGUGGGUAUCAAACAGGAUUAGAUACCCCAGUAGUC